UAGAGUUGGGCUUAUACCCAGCUAGACUCUGUCCCAGAACAAGAGUUUUUGGGAUUCAGAGUUACCUCUCAACUGCCAAGUUUUCUAGUUGUUGGCUCAUACUAUUGGGCACAUUGUGGUUGCUUUUAAUAAAGAUCUAUUAAAUUAAGAAAUGGAUUUGCUUAUUUUACAGUGCUAUUUUGUCCCUGCUGACUUAUGCAGUAAUUACAAAUGUUGUAUUAAGUUAACUUAGGGUGUGUAUAAGCCUCCUUCUGAGAAACUCCCAUGUUUACCUGAAGCCCAUGACGUAUCUUGAGUUCCCUUGUGGUGCAGCAGGUUAAGGAUCCGGCAUUGUCACUGCAGCAGCUCCGGUCACUGUCACUGCUGCAGCUCGGGUCACUGCUGUAGAGCCUGUUUGAUCCCUAGCGGGGGAACUUCCACGUGCCUCGGGUGUAGCCAAAAAAAAAAAAAACCAACAAAAAACCCCAAACCAUUUUGAUUCCAGCCACUUUUGUGGGAACUGGGAAGUGGAAGAUCCUAAAUGCAACAAACCAGGGCCUGUGUUUCUGCCUCUGCAGAAAAGUCUCUGCAGAAAUCACAAUAUUAACAAUUUGCAGUGGCUACAGGGUUCUGAUGGAGUCUUAAUACUUGGAGUUGGAGACAGCUGUGCUGAUGACCUCCCUGUUGGCAGAGUUCCUAUAUAACGGUGCUGAACACAAAUGCAAAAUCUAACACAAAAUCCUUAAAAACUGAGCAAGAUGAUAAUAGAAGCAGAGCAGGAAAUUUUUGUGUUCAGUUGUUUGUUUUGGCCUGUUUUCUCUUAAGUAAAUUGGGCUGAUUUUUUUUUUUUUUUCUCUUAAAGACCCAGUCAUAUUGAUAGGCUCAUUAACUGUUCUUGUAAAUCUUUCUUUUUAAUCAGUAUUUAAGACUAGAACAUGGGUGAUUUUUAGAGGCAUUUCUUAGGUCUUUUAAUCGCUGGAGUAGAAGGAAUAUUUUUCUUGGGUGCACACCGUGCUCUGGGUAGCAAAUGGGUCUUCUGUGUGCUUGCUCUGGUGGGCAUGAAGGAUUGCCACCACAGCCUGACAUGUUCCCUGUUGCAGAAAGGAAGUCAGGCCAGGAUCUUAGUAAAAUCUUGAUGUCAACUGAUAUAGGAGUUGGUUAAAACUAAGGAACAACUGUUUUAUAACUACUCGUUUCUCAGAUAAUCUUUGUCAACAGUAUGUUCACAAGGGAGACGUAUUGUACACAUGAUAACAAAUGCUGCUCAUGCUGUUUUUGCUGCUUUCAAAGGGUAGUUGAAGAUGUCUUUAAAAACAGAAUCUCUAUGUUGACUUGCACUAAGAGCCUAGAGGGGAGAAAUGGAUUUUGACUUCACUCUGGCACUUGAUGCUUAACGGCUGAAGAGAUUAAAACAAGGGCAGCUUCCAAAAUGUCUGGCUUUGGCUCCUCUUUGUACUGAAAUAACGAUUUUUUUCUAAUCUCAUUGUUUCUAUGCUUAGAUAUAUUCCCUGUGGUCCCUUCGUAAAUGCUUAAAACACUUAUCAGGCUAAGUUUUUUCAGUUGUCUCUCCUAGUUCAUCUAAUAAUGACAUCUUUUUCUUUUUUUAAUUUUUUUUUUUUUGCUUUUUAGGGCUGCACCUGCAGCAUAUGGAAUUCCCAGACUAUGGGUCUAACCAGAGCUGCCUCUUAUGACCUAUAAUGCAACUUGUGGCAACGCUGGAUCCUUAACCCACUGAGCAAGGCCAGGGAUCAAACCCACAUCCUCGUGGAUACUAGUUGGGUUCUUAACCCAAUGAGCCACAAAAGGAAUUCCCUGUCUUUCAUUUUCAUUGUAUAUUCCUAUUUCUUUUUCCCAUUGCCUUGCUUUGGCUCUGGCCUCUGGUAUUGAUUUUUCAGAUAAGCACUGUUUAUUUUGUAUUUGCAUCCCACCCUAACUGAGAAUGCACCCAGGAGCUUGGCCCAUCUGCCCUUCCAUGUGUGGGAAUACUAGUUUAUUGACCUGUGUACUCGUAGACUGCAGUGUUAAGCCCAGAGUAGGCUUUCUGUAAACAUUUAUUGAUUGGCUAAUGUAAAUGUUCAUUAAUUGAAAAAGUUUUACCUUAUAUAAAAAAAAAAUUAAAUGAUUGGCGUUCCCUGGUGGCCUAGUGGGUUAAAGAUCCAGUGUUGUCACUGUAGUGGCUUGGUUCAUUACUGUGGUGUGGGUUUAAUCCCUGGCCCAGGAACUUCCAUAUGCCGAGAAUGUGGCCAGAAAAAUUAAAUGAUUAUUCAUGUUGUACCUAUAUCCAAAGAGACUGUGAGGUUUUUUCCAGAACUACUGAGAGAUGCAGGAUGCCAUGAUGGCAGUGGAAGAAACAGGCUCACUCUGCCUCCUCCCUCUGCUGACUCUUACUGACAGUAUACUUACCUAUAGUAGCAUCCUUCACUCUCCUGCAACCCUGUCUGUGGCCUAGAAAUCAUGUUACCGAGGGCAUUCAUACUGUUUCUAAAACAAGAGUCAGUAGGCUUGGCGGGAAUGGGUGAGGCGAGAGUUCUCUUAGAAGUAAGCUGGCUUAUGGCUUCUUUUGUCUUCUUGCAUGCCAUGUUGGUGUUUGCAUUUUAUUUUAUUUUAUUUUAUUUUAUUUUUUUGCUGUUUUUUAGGGCCUCCAUGGCACAUGGAGGUUCUCAGGCUAGGGGGUGAAUCAGAGCUUUAGCUGCCACCCUAUACUACAGCCACAGCAAUGUGGGAUCCGAGCUGCAUCUGCGACUUACACCACAGCUCACAGCAGUGCUGGAUCCUUAACCCACUGAGUGAGGCCAGGGAUGGAACCCGCAACUUCAUGCUUACUAGUCGGAUUAUUUUCUGCUGCUCCACAACGGAAACUCUGGUGUUUGCAUUUUAUAUUUCCAGCCAAGGAGCAAAGUGGAUGUUGGACCAGAUGUUAAUCAUCAACAUCCCAAUAAUUUCGUUAAUUUUUACAGAACUUUUAAAGCUGCAUAAGUGUGAAUAUAGUCUUUUUUUAAACUCAGUGAAUUUUAUUAUAUUUAUAAUUGUACAAAUAUCAUCACAACCUAAUUUUACAACAUUUCCAUCCCAAUCCCCAGCCCAUUCCCCGUGCCUCUCCUUUGGUAACCAUAAGUUUUUCAAAGUCUGAGUCAGUUUCUGUUCUGCAAAGAAGUUCAUUGUAUCCUUUUUUUAGAUCCCACAUAGAAGUGAUAGCAUAUGAUGUUUGUCUCUCACUGUCUUGACUAAUUUCACUUAGCAUGAUAAUUUCUAUGUCCAUCCAUGUUGCUGCAAAUGCCAUUAUUUCUUUCGUUUUUAUGGCCGAGUAAUAGUCCAUUGCAUAUAUGUACCACAUCUUCUUUACCCAUUCUGCUGUCGAUGGACAUUUAGGUUGUUUCCACGUCUUGGCUAUUGUAAAUAGUGCUGCAAUGACCAUUGGAGUACAUGUAUCUUUUCCAGUCAUAGUUUUCUCUGGAUAGGUGCUCAGGAGUGGGAUUGCUGGAUCAUAUGGGAAUAUAAUCUUAACAUGGUAAUUAAAUUUCUCUCCUUUGCUUAAUAGGUUUAAAUUAAAUCUGAGAUUUUUCUCAGGCUCAAAAUUCCAAAACAGGCCUGCUCUGCCAGGAUGGUGGGCCCUGGCUCAACGUUACCUCUGGCCCUAAAGGUCUACUGGUUGCCUUCUCGUCAAUCUGUGGGUGAACAGAUUUCAGAUUAGGAGUCUGCUGCUCGUGACCAGUGCUGAAGCCCUUCCCAUCCAUUCUUAGAUAUCUUUUAUACUAGAGGAUACAAGAGUACAGGUGUCCAUUUAGAGUGUGGUACCUAAAGAAUUUGACUUCAGAAUAUCCUUGGACCCCAGUUGCAAAGCCAUGUAUAAAUUAUUUACACCCAGUGUCCCAGACACUUUACCUGCCAGAUAGGACUCAGAGGGGGCCUCUGCCCUCAGGGGAGCUUACAUUCUAGGGUAUGGGCACUUCCAUAUGCCUUGAGGGUGUGAGCUCAGCAUCGUCUGGAUGAUGGACAGACCUGCUGCCAGAGGGGUUUUUGCCCUUUCCUUCCUCUCCCUUUUCAGGGGGCUGCCUGGAGCUGCAAGCAUUGGGAUUCCCAGAUUUGCAGUGGGAAUUCUCUUCCCAAGUAUUAGAGGAUCUACAUGCCCUUCCCAGAAUCGCCUAACAAGUUCUUCAAGUUAUUUUUAGGGCUAGAUCUGUCACUUUUUCCCUGGUCCUUGACUUCAGAGCCCACGUCUGUAGAACAACACUGUGUGUCAUAAUUUGACAGAGCCUCCAUUUUUUGCGUAUGAGGAAAUUGGGUUGUGUGUGCAGCUUGAUUUACAUGACCACUGAGCAAAAGAAAUUAGAAUUCUUUUGGAAUCCUGGAAAUGCCUUAGAACUGUGAGGUAACAUUUCUUCCUGUAUUCCUGUUCCGCUCUGUGGAGUUGGGAACCACUGCCCCCCAAGGAGGCCUUUUCUGUCAUGAUACAAAGAGCAGUUCUCCAGAGACCUCUUUUGGAAAGAGAAGCCACCUUGCCCUGAUGGAUUGUGUGUGAGCAGGAUGGCUAUAACAAAACAUGCUCAAAUGAGGAUUCUGAUUCAGUAAGGUCUGAGAGUCUGGUUUUUUUUUUUUUUUUGCUUCUUAGGGCUGCACUCUUGGCAUAUGGAAGUUUCCAGGCUAGGGGUCGAAUUGGAGCUACAGCUGCCUGGCACAGCCACAGCCACGCCGGAUCCGAGCCAUGUCUGCGACACCACAGCUCACGGAUCCUUGACCCACUGAGCAAGGCCAGGGAUCGAACCCGCAUCCUCAUAGAUCCUAGUCAGGUUCAUUAACCAAUGAGUCAUGAAGGGAGCUCCUGAGAUUCUGCAUUUUUCAACAAACUUCCAGAUGCUGCUGGUGCUGCAGAUCCAGGGACCCCACUUGGAGUAACAAGAGCCCGUCUGUGGUUGUGAUGGUAGUGAGCUCCUAGCUGCUGGGUUUGCGUCUUCAAAGGCUUUCAUCUUCAAAGGUGACCUCACAUACUUGGCAUAUGGAAGCUAUUGAGGAAGCUCAUUGGACAAGAAGGUGGUAUUUCUACAUGGAGAGAUAUUGUCAAGGGCCUGCCAAGGAUGGGAGGGCUGCACCUGCUGCAUAUGGAAAUUCCCAGGCUGGGGAUCGAAUUGGAGCUGUAGCUGCCAGCCUACACCACAGCCACAGCAAAUGCGGGAUCCGAGCGGCGUCUGAGACCUACACCACAGCUUGUUAAUGCUGGAUCCUUAAAUCUCUGAUCAGGGCCAGGGAUCGAACCUGCGUCCUCAUGGAUACUAGGCAGGCUCUUUACCUCUGAGCCACAAUGGGAACUUCCUUGGCAGGACUUUAAGCUUUGAGGUAUAGCUUGAUUUUGGAUGGGAAGCUCCUGGAGGAAUUUUUUUCUUCAAUUACUGCUUCAGAAAAGUUCUUGGUGAAUGCCAGGUGGUCCAAGAGAUCCAUGACUACCAAAGAAAUAGGAAGUCCCCGCACAUUGUCAGUCAGCUGGCAUCCUGCACCUUCUAGACAAAUCAGUCUCCUAUGGAAAGCCAGCCGCUGUGGGAAGCAGGCAAACUCAGCCCUAGAAGAAAUCACAGGAAGUAAUUAAACGGAGAAGGUCAGAGAAAGAGGAAGUGGUUGUGUUGUUUCUGAUGCGAAUAGCAUUGUUGUUCCUGGGAAUCAAGAGGAGAUGUUUAAGUCUUCUGGAAUGUGACUGCUUGGGGAGUUGAUUGUAUUUAAAUUGUAGCCCUUUUAGUUUAUUCUUUCAGACAGCAAUCUAGUUAGGAUAUGAAUUGCUCUUAGGUCUUAUCAGGAAUCCCCACGUGCCUAAGCAGAAGUCUUAAGCAGGGAGUUGCUUAUAGCUUGGCAAAUUGCACUUAAAUGAAAUGAAUGUCAAGACUAUUAGAGGUUAAUUUUAGGUGUCUGGAGUUCUCCCUAAUUCUCCUGAUUAAACACUUUAACAUAAUAGUUUCCUUAAUUGGAAUAAUGAUAGAAUAUUAGCAUGCAUAUUAAACCAUUUACCCAAAUUUGAAUAGGGUUAAAAUGCAAAUUAUCCAUCACUUGUCAGCACUUACUCUUUAGAGAUAAUUCCUGGGGAGAGAUGGAGAAGAGCCUGGAAUAUGAAUCGGAAAAUGGUUUUCUACCUGAGGCAGCCUUGCUGAGAAGGCCAAGAAUAGACCAGAGGACUUGAAGUAAGGGACAGACCCUUUGUUCCCCCCAAAAAGAGGUGGCAAAAAUCCCAGCACCUAUGAGAGCAAAAACUCCCAACAAGAAGGUAGAUGGAAGGAGAAAUCUGAAAGGAGCAGACUAUAGACCUUCUCUGGUUGUCCUUCAUUAGCCUGUCAUAUUUUUCUUUCAGAAGAAGGUGAUGAGACUUAAGCUCCCUCCCCGGCAUUUAGAUACCCCCCACUGAAGUCUUGAACUGAUGCUACCACCCAGCAGUUGCCCAGCAAGUGCCUGGGGACCCAGAAGCACUCCAAGUGUUGUCUGUGAAGCCAGUGUGUAUAUAACAUCACCCCUAUAUGUGUGUUACUCUCUUUCAAUGUAAGGAGUUACGCGUAUAGACUAAUGAAAUGCAACCUCAAUAAAAUACUGCUG
rnacentral:lncRNA from 1 species